GCCUUGUGGUUCCUAGAGUCGGCUUCAAAGUGCUGAACUGUGGGUUUUUGUAAACAGGCGCACAAAUGAUCCUGUGAUUUUAUGCAUGGAAGCUGACAAUAUAGCACCUUUAUAGCCCGGUUGCAGAAACAAUU